CAGAGGGCGCUUUGGUGUCGGCAGCGGCCUAAGUUCCUUGGAACAGGUCAUCAUAGAGGGUGAGAAUCCCGUAUGUGGCUGCUUGUCUUCACCGUGUAAAGCCCCUUCGAUGAGUCGAGUUGUUUGGGAAUGCAGCUCUAAAUGGGAGGUAAAUUUCUUCUAAAGCUAAAUAUUGGCCAGAGACCGAUAGCGCACAAGUAGAGUGAUCGAAAGAUGAAAAGCACUUUGGAAAGAGAGUCAAAAAGCACGUGAAAUUGUUGAAAGGGAAGCGCUUGCAGCCAGACGUGCCCGUAGUUGCUCAUCUGGGGAUUUCCCCAGUGCACUCUUCUAUGGGCAGGCCAGCAUCAGUUCGGGCGGUUGGAGAAAGACCUGUGUCACGUAGCUCUCUUCGGGGAGUGUUAUAGGGCAGGUGGAAUGCAACCAGCCUGGACUGAGGUCCGCGCAUCUGCUAGGAUGCUGGCGUAAUGGCUGUAAGCGGCCCGUCUUGAAACACGGACCAAGGAGUCUAACAUCUAUGCGAGUGUUUGGGUGUCAAGCCCGAGCGCGUAAUGAAAGUGAACGGAGGUGGGAACCCCUCGGGGUGCACCAUCGACCGAUCCUGAUGUCUUCGGAUGGAUUUGAGUAAGAGCAUAGCUGUUGGGACCCGAAAGAUGGUGAACUAUGCCUGAAUAGGGUGAAGCCAGAGGAAACUCUGGUGGAGGCUCGCAGCGGUUCUGACGUGCAAAUCGAUCGU
rnacentral:rRNA from 1 species